GUAAUAUUAAUAAGCAUCCUAACUGUGAAGGAGAGUGGAGAACCCUGGACAUGUUUUUAUCCCCUUUGCAUUUGGAAAUGCUGUGCGCAUAAACAUGGCUACUUUAAAUGGAAGUACUACUGCUCUUUCCCACUGCCUCUAGUGGACAGUUAACAUCGGUUUCCUGUAAAGGCUCUGCCUUGUUUUGGUUUCCUGGACAAGCCUUAAUGAAGGUGAAGGGUAAUAGUUCAAAACAAAACGGGGCCAUAUCUUUUACCCACACUUGGCACAGUUGACAACUAAAAAGAGUUCAAGGCUGGAUCUUGGUGGCUUAUGCCUGUAAUCCCAGCUUCUCAGAAUGCUAGGAUCUGAGGAUCAAAGCUAGUCCAGCCAUUAAGACUGAAGCCAGAAACUAUCACAAAAACCUGUACCAAUUGCUACCUGAGAGGCCCAACAUAAAUAUAAUACCGGUGAAAUGGCUUUGUUACUUUCAUACUGAAAUGUUUGGUUUUCAGAUGACAAAAUAUUAAAUGCACAGUCACAAAGAAUUAAAUGAAUCUCUAAAAGUGAGAUUUUUUUUUCAUGUAACUGAAAACUCGAUGAAGGAAAAAAAGAUCUUUCAAGAAGCCAAUAGGCAAUUACACAGCACUGCAAUUCUGCAUACAAACCUGAUGUGAUAGUCAAUUGAGGAUAAAACAAGCUUUGGAAAGAAAGGAACAUGAGUAAUGAGUCUGGCUAAGCCUUACUCCUAUCCUGUGCUUUUGGAUUGUUUAAAUCACAUGGACAUUGGUUUUAACUCUUUAUAUCUACUUUGCCAUUUUGGUGCUAUCUACUUUUGAAGAUUAAAAAAGGGCUAGCAAGUACAUAUUAGAUCCUAGGAUUUUAUGUCAUACCCUUGCUUGUUAAAGAGUAGAAAGAGUAGUUGUCAGUCAGCAGCAGGGAGAUUUUUCAAUUUCAGAAUCAGAACUAUGGAAUCAGAAUCCUGAUGAAUCCUAACAACUCCUCUUCAGCAUGAAGAACCCUGCUUUCUGCCACAGUGCUCUGCCUGGAUGCCUUUUGGUUGUGAGUAAAGAACUUAAUUUUUACAUUUCUUUCUUGCAUUCAUUCAUUUUUCUAUGAUUAUAAUUUUUCCAGCGAAAAACAUCACAGCUGGACCUCUGCAUACAUGAACAGAAAAUAUUUGAAAAAAAAUUGUACUGAACAUAUGCAGACAUUUUUUUCUUGUCAUAAUAUAACAACUAUUUACAAAAUAUGGACAUCCCACUAGGUGAUAUAAGUCAUCCAGAGAUGAUUUGAAGUAUAUAGAAGGGUGCAGAUAAUUGUGUCAUUAUAUAAGGGACCUGCACACCCUACGAUUUGGAUAUUCAAGAGCAGCUGGCCUGGAACCAUUUUUCCUGCCUGAGGGCUGCCCGUAAGUGCUAUGGAAAGAGGACUGCGUUUAGAAGAGCCCUGAUUCAUGUACAGAUCUGUAGCACCAUUGCCAGAUGAGAAACUGCUGAGGAAUGUACUGAGGUCUCAAACAUAACUUUUUUCUUCAUAGCAGCAGAGGGAGCACAAGAGUCCCUGAUACAACAGCACACAGGGCCCUUUAAAUCGUGAUAGUUUUUAAAUGGUACUAUAUGUUUUCAUUGGAAGUAGCCUGUUUUAUAGUUCAAAACAAAGCAAGGCCAGACAAAACCAAUGAGCAAAUAUGAACAGCUUACCAGGUUCAUGUCACUCAAUAAUUGAACAGAAUGUAAGUUAAAUAAAAUCAAGAUCUACUUA